rnacentral:rRNA from 1 species
CCUACGGGAGGCAGCAGUGGGGAAUAUUGCACAAUGGGGGAAACCCUGAUGCAGCGACGCCGUGUGAGUGAAGAAGUAUUUCGGUACGUAAAGCUCUCUCAGCAGGGAAGAGUAGAAGACGGUACCUCUUGAAUAAGCCACGGCUAAUUACGUGCCAGCAGCCGCGGUAAUACGUAGGUGGCAAGCGUUGUCCGGAUUUACUGGGUGUAACGGGCGUGUAGCCGGGCCGGCAAGUCAGAUGUGAAAUCCCAAGGCUCAACCGUGGAACUGCAGUUGAAACUGUUGGUCGUGAGUAGCGGAGAGGCAGGCGGAAUUCCUAGUGUAGCGGUGAAAUGCGUAGAUAUUAGGAGGAACACCAGUGGCGAAGGCGGCCUGCUGGACGACAACUGACGGUGAGGCGCGAAAGCGUGGGGAGCAAACAGGAUUAGAUAUCCUGUAGUC